rnacentral:snRNA from 1 species
ACUGAAUCUUGUAACCGAUG